ACGGAGGGUGCAAGCGUUAAUCGGAAUUACUGGGCGUAAAGCGUGCGUAGGCGGCUCGUUAAGUCAGAUGUGAAAGCCCUGGGCUCAACCUGGGAACGGCAUUUGAAACUGGCGAGCUAGAGUUUAGGAGAGGAGAGUGGAAUUUCAGGUGUAGCGGUGAAAUGCGUAGAGAUCUGAAGGAACACCAGUGGCGAAGGCGACUCUCUGGCCUAAAACUGACGCUGAGGUACGAAAGCGUGGGUAGCAAACAGG
rnacentral:rRNA from 1 species